AGAAAAUAUCAAGAACUAAUGAAACAAGAAAUGGAAACUAUUUUAUUGUGACAGAAGCAACUGGAAGAAACAAACCAUCAGCUGAGAGAAAAGGCUGGAGAUGUUCGCCGAAAUCUGCGAGACUUUGAGCUGACAGAAGAGCAGUAUGUGAAGCUAAAAUCUUUUCCUGAAGAUCAACUCUCUAUUCCUGAAUAUGUAUCUGUA
rnacentral:lncRNA from 1 species